rnacentral:rRNA from 1 species
UGGCUCAGAACGAACGCUGGCGGCAUGCCUAACACAUGCAAGUCGAACGAACCCUUCGGGGUUAGUGGCGCACGGGUGCGUAACGCGUGGGAAUCUGCCCUUUGCUUCGGAAUAACAGUUAGAAAUGACUGCUAAUACCGGAUGAUGUCUUCGGACCAAAGAUUUAUCGGCAAAGGAUGAGCCCGCGUAGGAUUAGGUAGUUGGUGGGGUAAAGGCCUACCAAGCCGACGAUCCUUAGCUGGUCUGAGAGGAUGAUCAGCCACACUGGGACUGAGACACGGCCCAGACUCCUACGGGAGGCAGCAGUGGGGAAUAUUGGACAAUGGGCGAAAGCCUGAUCCGGCAAUGCCGCGUGAGUGAUGAAGGCCUUAGGGUCGUAAGGCUCUUUUACCCGGGAUGAUAAUGACAGUACCGGGAGAAUAAGCCCCGGCUAACUCCGUGCCAGCAGCCGCGGUAAUACGGAGGGGGCUAGCGUUGUUCGGAAUUACUGGGCGUAAAGCGUACGUAGGCGGUUAUUCAAGUCAGAGGUGAAAGCCCGGGGCUCAACCCCGGAACGGCCUUUGAAACUAGGUAGCUAGAGUCUUGGAGAGGUCAGUGGAAUUCCGAGUGUAGAGGUGAAAUUCGUAGAUAUUCGGAAGAACACCAGUGGCGAAGGCGACUGACUGGACAAGUACUGACGCUGAGGUACGAAAGCGUGGGGAGCAAACAGG